GCCGACAUAGCUCAGCGGUAGAGCGACGCACUCGUAAUGCGUAGGUCGUGGGUUCGAAUCCCACUGUCGGCUCCA
rnacentral:tRNA from 1 species